rnacentral:rRNA from 1 species
UACGUAGGGUGCGAGCGUUAAUCGGAAUUACUGGGCGUAAAGCGUGCGUAGACGGCUAUCUAAGUCGGGUGUGAAAGCCCCGGGCUCAACCUGGGAAUUGCGAUGGAGACUGCAAGGCUUGAAUCUGGCAGAGGGGGGUAGAAUUCCACGUGUAGCAGUGAAAUGCGUAGAGAUGUGGAGGAACACCGAUGGCGAAGGCAGCCCCCUGGGUCAAGAUUGACGCUCAUGCACGAAAGCGUGGGGAGCAAACAGG